GGGGGUGUGGCGCAAUGGUAGCGCGUCAGAUUCCAGAAGUUUCUUCGACCAGGACCUCAACAAGGCCUCUGGAAUAGAACAUAGGAAGUUCCUGAAGGCUAUGCGUUCAAAUCGCAUCAUCCUCA